rnacentral:rRNA from 1 species
GGAAGUAAAAGUCGUAACAAGGUUUCCGUAGGUGAACCUGCGGAAGGAUCAUUACUGAUUUAGCGAACCGAGCGUUAGCGAGGUUUUGCGAUCAACUUGUAUUUAAAACCCACUCUUCAAUGUAUAAAAUUUGUAUUAAUGAUAAAUUAAAAGAUCACUUUCAACAACGGAUCUCUUGGCUCUCGCAUCGAUGAAGAACGUAGCGAAGUGCGAUAAGUAAUGUGAAUUGCAGUAUUCCGUGAAUCAUCGAAUCUUUGAACGCAUAUUGCACUUUCUGGUAUUCCGGAAAGUAUGCCUGUUUGAGGGUCAGUUAAAUAAAAAUCGGUGUUGUUGCUGCCUUUCGUGGUGACGCGUCGGAAUUGAGUCGUCUUACCUUCGGUUAAGUGACUUAAAAUUUUGUAUGAUUUUUGAACGUAUUUAAAUUUAUUUGUACGUUUGAGAUAUCGAAUGUUUAUUAGGUUCGGUCAUUCUCAUGACUCGCGCCUAUAGUUUUUCAUUAAAUGACCUCAAAUCAGGUAAGAAUACCCGCUGAACUUAAGCAUAUCAAUAAGCGGAGGA